UACGUAGGGUGCAAGCGUUUAAUCGGAAUUACUGGGCGUAAAGCGUGCGCAGGCGGUUUUUGUAAGUCUGUCGUGAAAUCCCCGGGCUCAACCUGGGAAUUGCGAUGGAGACUGCAAGGCUAGAAUCUGGCAGAGGGGGGUAGAAUUCCACGUGUAGCAGUGAAAUGCGUAGAGAUGUGGAGGAACACCGAUGGCGAAGGCAGCCCCCUGGGUCAAGAUUGACGCUCAUGCACGAAAGGCGUGGGGAGCAAACAGG
rnacentral:rRNA from 1 species